GACGAACGCUGGCGGCGUGCUUAACACAUGCAAGUCGAACGGAAAGGCCCUGCUUUUGUGGGGUGCUCGAGUGGCGAACGGGUGCGUAACACGUGAGUAACCUGCCCUUGACUUUGGGAUAACUUCAGGAAACUGGGGCUAAUACCGGAUAGGAGCUCCUGCUGCAUGGUGGGGGUUGGAAAGUUUCGGCGGUUGGGGAUGGACUCGCGGCUUAUCAGCUUGUUGGUGGGGUAGUGGCUUACCAAGGCUUUGACGGGUAGCCGGCCUGAGAGGGUGACCGGCCACAUUGGGACUGAGAUACGGCCCAGACUCCUACGGGAGGCAGCAGUGGGGAAUAUUGCACAAUGGGCGGAAGCCUGAUGCAGCAACGCCGCGUGCGGGAUGACGGCUUUCGGGUUGUAAACGGCUUUCGCCUGUGACGAAGCGUGAGUGACGGUAAUGGGUAAAGAAGCACCGGCUAACUACGU
rnacentral:rRNA from 1 species